CCUACGGGGGGCAGCAGUGAGGAAUAUUGGUCAAUGGGCGCAAGCCUGAACCAGCCAAGCCGCGUGAAGGAAGAAGGCUCUAUGGUUUGUAAACUUCUUUUAUAUGGGCGUAAAGUGAGGAACGAGUUCCUUUAUGAACGUAUCAUACGAAUAAGCAUCGGCGAACUCCGUGCCAGCAGCCGCGGUAAUACGGAGGAUGCGAGCGUUAUCCGGAUUUAUUGGGUUUAAAGGGUGCGUAGGUGGUUAAUUAAGUCAGCGGUGAAAGUUCGUGGCUCAACCAUGAAAUUGCCUUUGAAACUGUUUGACUUGAGUGUAUGUGAGGUAGGCGGAAUGCGUGGUGUAGCGGUGAAAUGCGUAGAGAUAAGGCAGAACACCGAUUGCGAAGGCAGCUUACUAAACUAUAACUGACGCUGAGGCACGAAAGCGUGGGGAGCAAACAGGAUUAGAUACCCGUGUAGUC
rnacentral:rRNA from 1 species